rnacentral:tRNA from 1 species
GGCCCUAUGGUCUAGUGGUAAGAUACCCGCUUUGGGUGCGGGUGACCCCGGGUUCGAACCCCGGUGGGGCCC